AUCUGGGCGGCGGAAUUCAGGAUGGCCGGCAUGCUCUCGCGGUGUGUCGGUCGUUUGAUAUUUCCGUCGCCAGCAAACCGCAGACGUCGCGACCUGUUCGCGGUCGGUCCCUGCUCGGAGGAGCCACGUUCGAGCUCGUUGUGUGCGUGUUUCGGCGCGUCACACGGCGAAGGCGUGGAUCUCUGGCUGGCCGUCGGACAGUAUGCUUAGCGGUGUCCGGUGUCGUCGUCUCGUACGCGCGGCAUCGGUACCGGUCAGCGACGAAUUCUUCGGGCCUCUUUCCGACCCGUCUUGAAACACGGACCAAGGAGUCUAACAUGCGCGCGAGUCGCGGGGUAUCGAGCGUACUUCGGUGCGUUCGUUAUGUUGCGAAACCCGUACAUGUCGAAGGCGUAAUGAAAGUGAAUGGGGAAGAUGGUGUUCCGAGUUCACGUUCCGCGAUCGUCGGUAUCGCGGCCGGACACCCGCAUUCCCGGGGCGUCUCAACGGCCCGUCGUUGAUGCGGACAGUCGUCUUUCGGGGCGGCUGUCGGUCGGCGACGAACCGA
rnacentral:rRNA from 1 species